GCGGACGGGUGAGUAAUGUCUGGGAAACUGCCUGAUGGAGGGGGAUAACUACUGGAAACGGUAGCUAAUACCGCAUAACGUCGCAAGACCAAAGAGGGGGACCUUUGGGCCUCUUGCCAUCGGAUGUGCCCAGAUGGGAUUAGCUAGUAGGUGGGGUAACGGCUCACCUAGGCGACGAUCCCUAGCUGGUCUGAGAGGAUGACCAGCCACACUGGAACUGAGACACGGUCCAGACUCCUACGGGAGGCAGCAUG
rnacentral:rRNA from 1 species